rnacentral:lncRNA from 10 species
CAAAACAUUGUUAUAUAUGGGUAUAAUGAUUUAAUAUUUAUGAAUUAUAGCAACUCUUCAUCAUCUAUUUCCAGGUUUCUACUUUCCAGGUCCACUGGUGUUUGGUGUACCCAUGUGACUAAUUUGUCCAAAGAGAGGUGAGUGAAAGUGAUGUGUCACUUCCAGAUGGAAGCUUUUUGGGCAAGUAUGUAUUUUCUAGCUCUUUUCUUCUGUGUUAUAGAAACUAGGAAUAUUCCAGUUGGUGACUGACCCCUUAGUUGGGUUCCUAGAGUGAGUUUGAUGUGGAGGAGCCCAAAAUGACCUGCAGUGAAGUUGGAGUGUGAGCAAGAAAUAAACUUUUGUUUUUUAAUUUUCUGAGGUUUUGGAAGUUGUAGAUUAUAACUGCAUAACCUAUCAAUAUUGAUAUGUUUCAAUUCUUAAUGAAAAUUUCUAAUAUUCUUUUUGAUUAUUUCUAACUUAUUAACUUAAAAUGUCAAAUAUCUAUAAUUUCAGUAUAUUCUGUAUCCUACAUUUAAAAAUAAAAAAUAGAAUGUUGAAAAUGAAAUCAUUUCAAUGAGAUGACAACUCAAAAUCUUAUAGUAUCAUCCAGAAACAUGUAGAACAGAUUUAAAAAUACACAGUACUGAGAUUGGCAGGUUGAGAAGAAGACACAUAUGAAGGGUAACUUCUUUGGAAAGAAGCAGCUAUGCACAGUACUUAAGAAUGAAAUUUCCAUGUCCCGUUAAUACAUCUGAAACAGUUUUACUUUCUAUCCCAAACUUUAAUGAUCCUAGAAAGCUGGUUUGAAUCAGUUUUUACAGGGUUGUUUUGGAUUUAAAAUAACUAAAACUUGAGAGCUGGGAGAAAUUUUAUUUAACACUUUUUUAUCAUUCAUGGUUUAAUGUUUAAUGAAUAAAUUCUUCACUAAGCUUAUGUGGUGAGGGUCUGGUGGUGAAAAGUACUUUUUCAACUAGAUAUAUUAGAAUGACAACAGCAAAGCAAGAAUGUGGUAGGGUCACAUAAAGGAGUCGUGAUCUGUGGGAAAUUAUUUUUUAUGAUUCUCCAAGAUGGCUGUACAUAUAAGCAUAAAAGUCAAUAAACAAGUGCCUAACCUUUAGCUCUAAAUUAACUUUUGAGCGCUUUGAAUGCCUGGCACAAAAAUAUUUAGGGGUUUGGCGCCAUCUGGUGGCCAAAUAUCAACUUUUCAGCUUCUCUUUUAUGACUAAGAAGUGAAUUACUCUGCACUUUCCAAUAAACACUAUUAAUAAAUAAAAUUAUUUAAAAUGUUGAUUUCCAGAACUUGAGAAGACAAAUCAAAGACAGAUUUCUGUUAUGUUACCUAUUGUUAUAUGACAGAAUUUCAGUCUUGAGUAGGUUCUUUUAUACUUGCAUUUGAUUUAUUUAUGAAAGCAUUAUAGACAUAAAUCUGCUAUCUUUUUCUUAAUACAAGAGAAGACUCUUUCCCCAAAAGAAAUUAGACGUGCUCAAUAAAAUCUAAAUUUAUUUUUUCACAAUUCUGUAAAAGAUUGAGCUAGGGGUGCGUGUGUGUGUGUGAAUAUCAGAAUUUAUUUUAAAAAUGCAAGAGGGAGAGGGGAAGGAGCUGGUAGUGACAUUGUUAAUUGUCUGCUUUGCAAUAGCAAAGACUUGGAACCAACCCAAAUGUCCAUCAAUGAUAGACUGGAUUAAGAAAAUAUGGCACAUAUACACCAUGGAAUACUAUACAGCCAUAAAAAAGGAUGAGUUCAUGUCUUUUGUAGGGACAUGGAUGAAGCCGGAAACCAUCAUUCUG